GACGAACGCUGGCGGCGCGCUUAACACAUGCAAGUCGAGCGACGAAAGGUCCUUCGGGACCCUGAAAGCGGCGAACGGGUGAGUAUCACGUGGGUAACCCACCCUCGGUACCGGGAUAGCCCGGGGAAACCCGGAUUAAUACCGGAUGGCCUCUCCGGUCUGCGGAUCGGCGAGAAAAGGUAGCUUCGGCCUCCGACCGAGGACGGGCCCGCGGCCGAUUAGCUUGUUGGCGGGGUAAUGGCCCACCAAGGCGA
rnacentral:rRNA from 1 species